rnacentral:rRNA from 1 species
CAGGACGAACGCUGGCGGCGUGCUUAACACAUGCAAGUCGAACGAUGAAGUGGAGCUUGCUCCACGGAUUAGUGGCGAACGGGUGAGGAACACGUGAGAAACCUGCCUCGGAUUUUGGGAUAACAAAUGGAAACGUUUGCUAAUACCAAAUAACGUCGGAGAGUCACAUGGCUUUCUGACGAAAGGAAUUCCGAUUCGAGAGGGUCUCGCGGCCUAUCAGCUAGUUGGCGGGGUAAUGGCCCACCAAGGCAACGACGGGUAGCUGGUCUGAGAGGAUGGUCAGCCACACUGGGACUGAGACACGGCCCAGACUCCUACGGGAGGCAGCAGUGGGGAAUCUUGCGCAAUGGGCGAAAGCCUGACGCAGCAACGCCGCGUGCGGGAAGAAGGCUUUCGGGCUGUAAACCGCUUUCAGCAGGAACGAAAAUGACGGUACCUGCAGAAGAAGGAGCGGCCAACUAUGUGCCAGCAGCCGCGGUAA